CCCGCCGGCCUCGGCCGCAGCUCCUCGGGAGAGCCAGGGCGCCCACGCGAGAACCUCCCUACCUGGGUCUCUCUUCAAGGAUGACAUCAUCCGUUUGCCUCCCUGUCUUCAGGACCACCUGUGGAUGCCGUGCUGAUGCCAAGGUGUUGCCUCACCUCCACCUUCUGAGGACACUAGGAGCACGGAUUCCUGGAUCCUACCAGCACACAAAGCAGCCACUGGCAGUGACCCCAGGACCAGGACGACGAAGGAUGAAGAGGCCCAGAACGGACCAGCCAGCUGUCCCUCUUGGCUAAGGCUUAAACCAAUGCCCUAGUGAGGGGGCAUUGGUCAUUAACCCUGGGCCUUUGCUAUGCUUCUGCCUUGAUGCUAUGACUGCUUUUCUAUGUUGUCUCUGCUUGUGUUACAUGUCAGCAACCUGGAGGGUUUCCAACCCCAGGGAGGUGUCAGUCUUUCUCAAUCCACCCCGUUGUGACCCCCAUGAUGUUCUAAAUGGAAGGGUCCCUUUGGGAACUUCUCAGGACGGGGACCUGGGCCAAGGCCUCAACCAGCAUCUCACUGGCAGUUCCCAGGCCCAGGGUGGGCUUCUGGAUUGAGCACGUGCCGCAGCGCCAUGCUACUGAACUGCCAAGGGCAUCCCCACCACCUUAGAGAUCUCCCUGUCCUUUCUGGGGAACGGGGCCGAGAAGAGCAACCUCCCAGGGCGUUGUGAGUAUUGAAUGAGUCCAAGCAGCCUCGGGUAGGGCCAGGCAUAGAGGAGACAGUCAACAAAUGUUUGUUGAAACAGCUUGGUCGGCCAAUCCAUCCCCGCCCCUCUCACCUGUCUCACACCUCUUGUUUAUUCUCCCACAGCGCUCCGGACAGCCCCAGUCUACGGGGCUCUCCCUGCCCCAGGUAGGGGCCGCACCCAGACGGGCGUCAGGCUGACUUGACCAAGCUUCUCGAAAGGCCUGUCUACACUUGCUGUCCUUCCUCACCUCCAAUUUCCUCUCCAACCCACUGCUUCCUGACCUCUUCUACUCCGUCGAUCGGCUCUCACUAAGGUAAUGACUUUUCUGGAGCUUAAUCCUGGACACGUUUCCGGUUCACGGACACAUGACACACAGACACGUAGCCAGCGUUUCUCCCACAUUCUCUCCAGCUCCGGUCACUUCUGUGGGCAGACACCCCCCCCACCCCCCCCUGUAGACUUCACAGAGUCACCUGCUUCUCCUGGCCUUCCUCCUUCCUAGCCUCUCCUACGACCUGGGGUAUGCAGGCCUCUCACCUUCUAGAACCUGCCUCUUAGCAUCUCAACCUGGGUUGGAGUCUAAACCACCUAGAGCUGAGGCCUUGGGGCAGGUCAGUUUUUCCAAGCCACCUCUUUCUCUCAGUUGUAGAAUAGGCGGUCUUUACCAGGCAGGUCAGGUGGGCUGUCUGGCAGGUGAGAUUUCAAGUCUCACUCUUUGAGGGCCUUAAAUAAAUGCAGUAAAGUGUUCAUGAGAAAAUACAACUGGGGUCAUCCUCAGAUUUUCUUGUAGGUUAAGUUCCCACAGGGAGGACCAAAGAGAGAAGAAAGAAGUGGGGGGAGGGGAGCAGUGGGAGACAAAGAAGCCAAGACUAGAAAAAGGCACCAAAGACAAAAAAGUAGGAAAGGGAGACCUAGAAAAUAUGAAAACCCACCAAGAAAACGCAUCCAGAGAAAGGGGUUUCUUCUUGGGUUAGGUAAAAAAGCAAGUCAACAGGAAAAAGGUUUUCAAUUGAUCAUCCCAGUGACAAAUCCCAGGAAGCUUUCAAAUCAAAUUGCCCCAUUUUGGGGUUUUUAACUCCUUCUAUCAGGUUUAACCUCUUUACCUCCCGCAUCCUGGUUAAACCCUCCUCAGCCCCCUCGGCUGGUGAUUAAAUCCCGAAGGUACAUGGAGUCUUUCAAUGAAUGAAUGGCCAACAGAAAGAGCCCUCCCCCUCCCCCCAGCUGUGUUUUUCAGUUUUAUUCCACUUUCCGCCCUUUUCCCUUAAUGAACGCAGGGCUAAUCUUGGGCCUUGUCAAGGAAGAGGCUGCAGACGUUAAUGAGGUAGCUGCUGGAUUCCAAUAUUCCUCUGGUGAGGAGCCUUCUUUGUCUGAGAAGGAAAAACACACUGAUUAUCAUAAUAAGGUGAGCCGUGGCCGCAGGGCAGGGUGAUGCGAGUCUGAAGCCACACGUCUGAUUUUGGUGCUGGAG